UUCGUUAAAAAUAAAUAUAUUGUUCUUGAGCUUUUGUGUAACAAAAGAUAAUCUUAUUAGCUUGAUAAAAGACUUUUUUAGUUCAGAAUUAACAAUAUUUCAUUCGAUGAAUCUGAAAAUUUCUUUGAAUACAAAUUGUAACUUUUUAAUUUUCUACUUCACAGCCAGAAUAUUUUUAAUAAUUAUUUACAAAAAUAUUAAUUGAACUUUCGAUACAUUGCUUCUGUAAUGCAUAAAAUUUAAAAAAAUAUAAAUACAUAAUUAUUUAUGCAGUCAUGUCAUAUGAGAUUUAGUUGCUUACAAAAAUAAAGAUAUACGUUUUUAACGAUAUAUUUUUACUAAAAAUAUUAUAAAUGCGAUCUACAAAAUGUAAGCUGCUACUUAUUAAAAAUAAAUAAUUUGGUUCGUUUCAUUAUAUGCGUGUCGUAUUUGUUGGCAACCCCUGACGUCAUUUAUAUGUUCUCUUGGCCUAAAGUUCUCUGAUUGCUUCGACGUCUUGCUUUUAGACAUCUUGAUUUGAUUCUCAUAUAUUUUUUCCGAAACAGCAUCUAAUUUCUGAUCUCUUAAAUAUAUUCGAUACCAUGAUACUAUCUAAAACGAAAAUCCAAUUUUAUCUUUAAUAGUCAUUAUAAUAUAUUGAAGAGUGAUAGGCUAUUUGAGUUUAAGGGACAUUUUUGCAACAUUACGUAGGGCCAUUUAAAGUUUAAAAAUUUGAAUAAAUAUCAUAACAAAAAACUUGUAGAAACUAGCUGAAGAUGUUUUUUUUUGUUUGCUCCAUUCUUGGAGUAUAACUUUAGUAUCAAGCGAAAUGUCGCUUAAACUAUAUAACCUUUCAUGCCUCAAUAUAUGUUAUAUAUACAUAUAUAUGACAUCAGGUGUUACAAAUAUAUAUCAGUGAGCUACCGAAAAAAAAAAAAAA